CUGUCAGUUAACGUCGAACUGCUCCACGCGUCGCAAUGAACAAGCUACUGCUAACCCUGCUGAUUGUCGGAUGUCUGACAUGUGCUAUAAUACCAGAGGCGGAAGCCCAAGGAGGUUACUGGGGUGGUGGUAGCGGGUCUUGUCAAUGCCGAUACCGCUGCUACCACGGUGAGCGUUGGAGCGGUCGCUGCGGCUAUAGAAGGGUGCGAUGUUGCCGGAGAUGGUAUGGAGGCUACUAGAUCCAAACAACGAGCGUGCCGAGGGUCAGUGAAGCAUAG